UGUAGUCAUAUGCUUGUCUCAAAGAUUAAGCCAUGCACGUCUAAGUAUAAACAAAUUUGUACUGUGAAACUGCGAAUGGCUCAUUAAAUCAGUUAUAAUUUAUUUGAUAAUACCUUACUACUUGGAUAUCCGUGGUAAUUCUAGAGCUAAUACAUGCUAAAAACCCCAACUUCGGGAGGGGUGUAUUUAUUAGAUAAAAAACCAAUGCCCUUCGGGGCUCUUUGGUGAUUCAUGAUAACUUAACGGAUCGCAUGGCCUUGCGCCGGCGACGGUUCAUUCAAAUUUCUGCCCUAUCAACUUUCGAUGGUAAGGUAUUGGCUUACCAUGGUUUCAACGGGUAACGGGGA
rnacentral:rRNA from 1 species